GGCCAAAGACUGGGUGGAAGACUGGUUAAACCGUUUGGUUUUCGACCACUACGACCCGGGUUCGAUUCCCGCAUUGGACA